UUUAAAAAAAAAAUAUCCUGUGGCAGCAUCUCAUAUAGCCCAGGUCAGGUUCUGGGGAAGGGGAGGCUAGGAGUGCAGAAUUGAAGAAGACAUGGGAAAUGGGUGAAAAAGAUGACGUGAGCAGAGCUUUUAUAGUGGAGAUGGCAGGGGUGUGGUGUGGAUUCAAUCUGAAAGGCAAUGGGGGUUGCUUUCAAAGAGCUGGUUCUAUCUAACAAAUGAUAGUCACAUCAAGCCUCCCAAGAUGGAGGCAAUGCAAAACCAAGAACAGAAGCAAGGAAAUACUGACUUUUUUUAGAGGCUUGGGAGCAGCGAGGGGAUGUGGCACUUUGGAAGCCUUGGCUUAGGCUAUUGUAGAAAUACACAGUCAUAGUCUGGGGGCAUCUAGGCCCCUUGGCACCUUUGCCCCGAGGCAGAGGGGAAAAAUAAGAGAACAUGAGGACUGGGUUUAGAAAAGCCCGGGGAUGCAGAACCAAAAGCCCCACUUCAGAGACAAGGAGCUUGGCUUAAAUUCCUGGGGCUACCAUUUAAUCUGGGUGAUGAUAUGGGUGGAUGGAGGUGAAGCAUCUGAGAGCCUCAGUUUCCCCUACUGUAAGAUAGGGACAGCUGCUCUUCAACCCUAGAGAGUUGCUGUGAAAAUGAAGGAGCUUACUAAUCACAUCCGGAUGUCAUCAUUGCCCUCCUGGAGACUUUAUUUCUGCUGUAAACUGUUUCCUCUGUGCUUUGCUUGUAUCCUGUUCUGCAGCUACCCACAUGCAUAUCAGCUGGAAUAUAUUUCUGGUUACAACAUCUGGAGAAGUCAUGCGUGAAUAUGUGUGUGUGCGUGCACGCGUGUGUGCGUGCGUGCAUGCCAGUCAGGGUCAAACCUUUGUUGUUGUUGUUUCUCAGAGGCUGUCUGCCUUGUUUGUUGAGACAGCCUUUCUCAUUGGCCUGGGGUUUACUUACUGGUUAGGUGAGGCGAGCUGCCCAGUGAACUCCUGGGAUCUGCCUGUCUCUGCCUCCGCAGGACCGAGAUCACAACUGUGUGCAACCAACACUCUGCUUUUUAAAACAUGGGUUCUAGGAACUGAGUUCAGACACUUUGCUCUUGUGUCAAACACAUUACCAACUGAGUGCUCUCUCAAGCUUCCCAGAAAUGGUUCUUUUUUAAAAAAAAAAAAAGUGGUCUUCUCCCUUAUUUGACAGAGGGAAACAAUAAAGAAACCCGGCUCGAUGCUUGGAACUGCACAUCAGCUGACGUGUGCUUAUGCUUGUCUGCAGGCUGGCAGAAUUUAUGGCACAAAACUGCUGAGAAGAGCAGCAGAUUCCCAUGUUGUUUCUUGGUUUAUCUGCACCAUAUGACACGAGUGCGCUGUAAAUCUCAUUCCAGGGCCAGGGUCACAGUUGGCCCCAUACCCUGGCAUCUAUCUGUCUCCAACCUGCAUGGACAAAAGCCAGGGUUGGGUUUGUGACCUUGGAAAGAGCUUGAUUGACACCUCUUCCAAGUAUUUCUCAAAUAACCCCAGGAUUUUCUCCACCACUGGGUGAAUGGUUGGUCAUUUGCCACAGGAUCAAUGAAUAACAGGGUAGAGGUAGGUUUACCUAGGACUUCAGUAAUUUAAACCAUAAUCUCUCUCUCUCUCUCUCUCUCUCUCUCUCUCUCUCCCUCUCCCUCACUCUCGCUCUCUCUCCUCUCUCUCUCCUCUCUCUCUCUCUCCUCUCUCUCUCUCUCUCUCUCCUCUCUCUCUCGUCUCUCUCCCCCAAGCCCACUUUGUCCUUGUUUGGGUAUUCUGAAAAUCAGUGUGGGCCACUUGUAUGCUGCCAAAGAUGCUACUCUGGUAUAGACACUAGAAGGAGGGAAAUAGCCUGCCAGUCAGAAAGUCUAGAGUGUCUGAUAGGGCUUUGUCCGUCCUGUGGCAGUUCUGGUUUCAGUCUUGCUGCUCAAGGAAGCUAAGGCUGCAGCUCAGUGGUAAGGUGCUUGUCUAGCAUGGAGGCAGGAGGAUCACAAGUUCGAGGUCACUCUGGAAUGCACAGCAAGCCUAGGCUACAUAGCCCUCCCCCAAACACACACACCCACAACCUAGCUCCUGGCUCUGACAGACCUGGGCAUCUCUCAGUCACGGUCCAAAAAGCUCCUCUUUGGAGCAGUUGUGGAGAGACGCAGAACUGGGUAAACAACUGAACAUGCUCGGUCCCAAACAGAGCAUCUAUAUUCUCUUUCCUCCAAGGCUCAGGGAAAAUCUUGGAAGAGAAGGCAAGCAGAAAUGUGAGCACCAGAGGAUGGGAAGGAGCGCCGUGAAGAGCUAGGGUUUGGACAUGACAUGGCUAUCAAAAUAAUGAACCUGCAGCAGCCGUGGUUCCCUCCAGAAGACCCAGCACAGGAUCAAGCAAAAUUCCAUCCUAGAUCUCCUGCCCUGCCCCGCCCCGCCCCUCACGGAGGAGCUGGUGGCAAUGGCUAUUGCUAGGGGAGAGAGACUUACUCUAUUUGGAGAGUGUGGGACUGUAAAAUUCCCAUGAUCCAGUGGAUGGUCCCAUAUCCGUGCACAUAUGAGUACAGAACUAACUGGAUAAAAGGAUAGUAAUGCUACUACUACUAAUGACAUGAAGUCAGAAGGAUCAUGUGGGGAGAGUUGUAGGGCCCAGCUGGCCUCAGAAAAAGCUUCUAUGGUCAGGAAAACCCUGAUCUGGUCCCGGAGAACCAAGAUGCUGGUGUGGAAGCUCCCUGCAGAACUUGGAGGCCCUCCCUCCCACUCCCAAGUCCUCCUGAAGUGUGCCUGAAGCUCGAGAGGUCACACUGGUUCAGUGGGUCAGACAGGCUCCAAGAGCCACACGGGUUGUGGAGACCCCUGCUUCUUUACCUUACAAUGCUUGAGGAACUUUGACUGAUGCUCUGCAGAGACUCAUGGUUUCUGAAGGAGAGGUUGUGGGUGCAGAUCUGAAAUUGUGUGGAGAAGGUAAACUCCAUGUGUGUGAUGAUUAAUUUUCUUUCUUUUUCCAAUAAUUUAUUUUUAUUUACUUUAUAUCCCUAUCACAACCUCUUCCCUUCUCUCCUUCUAAUCCUACCCUUACAAAUUUCUCCUCCCAUUGUUCCCUACUCUUCUAAGAGAAGGGGGAUCCCCCUUGGGUACCACUCCACUCUGGGACAUCUAGACAUCCUCUCCCACUGAGUCCAAACUAUGAAGUCUAGGUAGGGGGAAGGGGAUCCAAUGGAAGGAACAGAGACCAAGACAGCCCCCACUCCACUUGUUAGGGAUCCUACAUGAACACCAAGCUGCAAAUUUGCUACAAAUGUGUAGGGGAGCUAUGUCCAGUUCCCUGGCUGGUGGUUCAGUCUCUGUGAGCCCCCAGUGGCCCAAGUUAGUUGACUCCGUAGGUCUUCUUGUGGUGUCCUUGACCCCUCCAACUUGUUCAUUUUCUAUCCCUCAGUCUUGUACAAGACUCCCCAAGCUCUGCCUGUUAUUUGGUUGUAGGUCUGUUGCCUCUGUUUCCAUCUGCUGUUGGAUGAAGCCUCUCAGAAGGCAGUUAUGCGAGGCUCCUGUCUGCAAGCAUAGCAGAGGGUCAUUAAUAGUGUCGGGUGUUAGCGCUCUCACAUGGGAUGUGUCUCAAGUUGGGGCAGUCAUCCAUUGGCUGUUCCCUCAGCCUUUGCUCCAUCUUUAUCCCUGCACACCUUGUAGGCAAGACAGAUUUGGGGUUGAAGGUUUUGUGGGUGGAUUGCUGUCUCUCUCCCUCCUCUGGAAGUCCUGCUUCACACCAGGAGGUGUCCACUUCAGUCUAUAUCCCCCUCUGGUAGGAAUUUCAGCUACCCUUCCCCCAGUAGGCUCCCCUGUCCCAGGUCUCUUUGGCAGCAAAAAGGAGCUCUGAUGGAGGAGUGGUGUCACUUGGUGGCCACUGCACUAAGGUGAAUGGGAGUUCUGGAGGUGUUGGGUGAGACUGGUAUUUCAGGGCAGUGAAGAAACCUGUGGGAUGUUAUUUGGAUUGGAAGCAUCUCUGCAUGGACAGGCAGCAAGCCUCUGUGACUCUUGGCUCCCUUCACACUGUCUCCUCUGUGACCCCAGGGUCACGCCCUCUAAGAACCUGGUGCAAGUGCAGAGUAUGAGCUUGACCUAUCAAGCACCUCUGCUGAUACCACUGUAACCUCUCAUAGCCCAGGGCAGGAUGCACAGCUCCAGGGCUCCGAAGCUCAGAAAAAUGAGCUGAAUGGUCACUGAGUCUCAGGACUCAGUCGUCAGGGGAGAAAGACGUCAAAAGUUCUAAAAGGCUACUUCUACAGAUGUUUAUACAGCAUGCAGCCCCUUUCUUCUAGAAAAAUGGGCUAUUUCCUCUGAAUUGCUUAUGUGCCUUUGCUUUGUAGUCAUUGUCGACUGGUUCAGGCUUCUUCGGGGAUUUGGAGUAUAUUCUCUUUCAAAAACAAAAAAUAAAACAACCAAAACAACCAACAAAAAAGUUCAUGCAGUUGGAAGCCUAGCAUCGAGCGAAGCCUAGCAUCGAGCACCUUUCUGACCAUCUAAAUUAAUCACCUAACCUGCUACCUGACAUCCGUAGCCCCUCUCUUACCUAUCACGCUCAUUUGGAAACAGCUAUUUUCUUGUUUGUCUUUUCUCACUGCAGUAUUAAGCUCCCUAAGGCCAGGGAUCUAGUCUGCCCUGUUCAGCAAUGCUGCCCUAGCACAGUAGGUUCCCAGGAAGUUAUUUGUAGAUUUUAGGAAGGCUGGGGUUUUUAAGUAGAAUUCACUGGGGGGACUGAGGCCCAUGAGUAGGAGGUCUAUUCUCCCCACAAACUCACCUUGCUGUGGUUUAAGUUUCAAGGGAUCUUGUGCCAGGAGCCUAGUCCUCAGUAUGCAGGUUGUGUUGAGAAACGCUGGUACCUUUAAGAGGUGGGGCCCAGUGGGAGGUGGCAAGUUGGCCCCUCCCCCUUACCCUGGCUUCGCGUCUCACCUGCAGUGUCUCCUUUUCCCAGGCACUCUAUUGUCACUCACCAGCGAGGUGGUGUGGACAAAAAGGUUCUUGUCAAAGCUGGUACUGUGUUUGUGUCUUCCAUAUCUUACCUUGGAAGCUCAGUUCUGCUUCGGAUUCUCCACAUAGUUGUGAUAAACUGUCUGCAGUGCCCAAAUCCUAAUUCUUGCCUUGGGCUUUCAUCUACUCUGCCCCAAGUUUUUAGGCUCCCCAGAAUUGUUCCCAUCUGUACCCGCCCCGCCUCCCACUCCCCUGCCCAGGUGCCAAGGGUUGUGCUGAGUUCUCUCUCUCUCUCUCUUUCUCUCUCCCCCCUCCCUCC